AAGUGGUACAUUUAACAAGGUAUGAAGGAAACACUAUUUAGUGUAAGGAAAUAGGAAUGCAUUGAAAGGAGAAAAAGAGCGUGACUUCUUUGGUACCACUCCCUAAAACUCUGAACACCACCCCUUCCAGAAAAAAACUUACUGACAUUGUAUUUUUUUUCAUGAUGGGUCCAUUGUGUGAGCUAUUCCCUCCCCCUUGUUUUAAAUAGUGAUGCAGAGACAACAGGUGUCACAGCCUCACCUGGGAGCCUACUGAGAGCAUCAGAGACCUUGGAAUACAAUUGCAACGGAUCUUUAUACUGAUCACCCUCAGCACUUACAACUGCUCCAUCCUUCAUCUGCACACAAGACUAUCUAGGCAUGGACAAGUACAGACUACUGCUCGGCGUCCUCUUUGUGACUCUGUCUUGGAGUUGUAUGCAGACAUAUGCUCAGAGUACAACCACCGCAAACGCAACAACACCAGGAGCAAACGCAACAACACCAGGAGCAAACGCAACAACACAAGGAACAAUGGCAACAACACAAGGAACAAUGGCAACAACACAAGGAACAAUGGCAACAACACAAGGAGCAAUCACAACGAGGAGCACAAUGCUGUAAACAAUCCAAUCCAUUGCAACAACACCUCAGUGGAAACUCUUGCAGUGAGUAAUAUUAGUUUAGAACAACAGAGCAGCUAAAAACAGGCGGAACUUUAGCUCCAUCUCUUUCAUUUAUGCAUGAACUUGAUGCUUUUCCACUCAAUGUAACAGAUUGUUUCUCUUUUCAGACAACUGUUAACAGAAAUGAAUGUGGAAAGACACAGCUGUGUGCAGCAGAGCCUUCUACAUGUGACCCAUCAGCAGGUGCAUCAUGCUUCUUUCUUGGUGCCCAGAAAAAGGAUGGUAACAACUUUGAGUUUGCACUCUCUGGAGAGUCUGAUGGGUACAUUGCAGCAUCUGUGUUGAGUCCUUUCAAUAACAAAGAAGUUACUUAUAUCUGUGCAAACAAAAACAAUGCAGUGAAGUUUUUUGGUGCUGUUCUGGAAAACGGAGGACUAACCAUAACAAAUGUCAGUGCGAACUCUGUGAAGGGCAAAGUGAAUGGCAAAAAAAUCCAGUGUACAUUCUUGGCCACAGUACCAGACACAAAUAUUCCAGCAACCAAGAGAGCACGUAGAGCAACAGACGUCACCCUCUCUGUCUCAACUGGACCAUUCAAUGCAAGUUCAGACAGUCCAGGAGCACCAACCAGAGUCAUAAAAGCAGCCGUUGCAGACCUGGCAAAUGCGAAUAUCACUGUUUCUAAUGACAUUACUAACUCAACAAACACAACUACUGCCCCGACGACAAACACAACUACUGCCCCGACGACAACCACAACUACUGCCCCGACAUCUGCAGUUGGAUCUCUCCAGACAGAUCUCAAUAGCACUGACUGCGGAUCGGGAAAACUUUGCGCAUCUGAGCCCAAGUCAUGCAACCCUGCUACUGGCAACACCUGCUCCUUUUUGUCUGCUAAGCAGAAGAGUGGUCAGAUCUAUUCCUUUGAGCUUUCAGGACUGUCAGAUGGUUACAUCGCCUCUGCCGUAUCAACUGACACUACCGCGGGUAAUGGAGACUCAACCUACGUGUGUGCCAACAACAAUGGUGCAGUUAAAUUCAUCACUGCCAUCUUCAACAAUUCUCAGUUGACUGAGACGUCGCUGAACGUAACAUCUGGCUCUGUGUAUGGCAAGAUUAAAGGCAGACAAAUCCAGUGUGUUUUUGAGGCCACACUUCCAGACACCACUACUCGCGCAGCGACCUAUUCAAUGAUAGUCAUGAAUGGAAGUUACGAUCCCACUGCAAAUUCUUUGGGAAAACCUGUUGUUCUGGUGAGAACCAAUCUUGUAAACUUGUCAGAUCCUACAGCAAAUACACCAACCUUGCUUCUGGAGUGGCACCGCACUACCAUCCGUUAAUGCAAGCUCUGCUGAUCACUUUUGGCAUCCUGGUUCUCACCAUGUUUGGACACUGAUAGAAACCAUGUGACACUUCUCAUCCAUCAGCAAAUGCCUGUGAAUGUAAACUUUGAAGAUUUUAUAGAAGAUAACCUGUGGACAGAGCACUCUCCACAGAUUUCCUUUAAAGCCAUAUAGUACAACUUUGUUAUGUAGCUUUCUGAUGUCUGUAUGAGUUUGUAACCGUAGCAAACAACACAGAAGAGUUCAAUGUCUUGUGUGCAAGUAUUUAAAUGCAUGAAUGUUGGAUUUCUUCUCCUUCAUAAAAGGGUUUAAAAUAUCCAAAUCAAAAUUUCAGACUCAAAUUAAAAAAAAAAAAAAGGCGCUCAUAAAACUUACCUAAAAGUUGCAAACCAAAUUACUGUUUUUCACAAGCAUUGUAUAAUUUAUGAAAAAUGGGUUUUAAGGUCUGGUUAUCUCUAAAACCCUUGUCCUUUCUGUAUUGGACUAAAAUCUGACCAAAAGCUUUGAUUAUUUUAAUUUUUUCGUGUUUUGAUCAUAAUGAUGUAAUUGUAUCAGAGGUAUAUUUUUGCUUCAUUCUUUCAAUGAAUUAAAGUAUCCUGUAAGAAAUAAUCCUUUUGAUAUUUUACCAUGAAGUCAUUUCUGGCUGAUAUUUUUUGUGUGUAUAUAUUUGUGAGUGUAAAUGUGUUACAAUGAAAUUAAAUAUGUUAUCUAAAAUUAUUAAAAGGGAUUUUACAUAUUGCAAACUACUUUUGACCUCACAUUAAUGGUUUGGAAAUAAAGAAUUAAGACAAACUGAUGAUGUCAAUUUGGUUUGUUUGAUGUCAGCGCGCAAAUUGUAUCAAUGAAGCGAUCUUUUGAAAUAGUAACAACCACUGGAGAGCAUCUUGCUAUGGAUGAAUGUU
ensembl:lncRNA